UACGUAGGGUGCAAGCGUUAAUCGGAAUUACUGGGCGUAAAGCGUGCGCAGGCGGUUUUGUAAGUCUGUCGUGAAAGCCCCGGGCUUAACCUGGGAAUUGCGAUGGAGACUGCAAGGCUUGAAUCUGGCAGAGGGGGUAGAAUUCCACGUGUAGCAGUGAAAUGCGUAGAGAUGUGGAGGAACACCGAUGGCGAAGGCAGCCCCCUGGGUUAACACUGACGCUCAGGCACGAAAGCGUGGGGAGCAAACAGG
rnacentral:rRNA from 1 species